rnacentral:rRNA from 1 species
UUACGGUCACAUCACGUUGAAACACCGCUUCCCGUACAAUUACCGAAGUUAAGCAACGUUGAGCCUAGUCAUUACCUAGAUGGGUGACCGCUUGGGAAUAACAGGUA